GGGAAUAAGGCCCUACGGGUCGUAAACCUCUUUUGCCGGGGAGCAAGUCAGGGUUCGAGAACCCUGAUGGAGAGUACCCGGAGAAAAAGCAUCGGCUAACUCCGUGCC
rnacentral:rRNA from 1 species